GAAAAUAGAUGGCAACAAAAGUAGGAAAUUUA
rnacentral:scRNA from 1 species